CAAGAAGUAGUUUAAUUAGAAUAUCAGCUUUGGGUGUUGAUGGUAGGGAAACGUUCCUUCUUCUUGA
rnacentral:tRNA from 1 species